GUGGGUGUUGGAAAGAUUUAUCGGUUUUGGAUGGACUCGCGGCCUAUCAGCUUGUUGGUGAGGUAAUGGCUCACCAAGGCGACGACGGGUAGCCGGCCGAGAGGGUGACCGGCCACACUGGGACUGAGACACGGCCCAGACUCCUACGGGAGGCAGCAGUGGGGAAUAUUGCACAAUGGGCGCAAGCCUGAUGCAGCGACGCCGCGUGAGGGAUGACGGCCUUCGGGUUGUAAACCUCUUUCAGUAGGGAAGAAGCGAAAGUGACGGUACCUGCAGAAGAAGCACCGGCUAACUACGUGCCAGCAGCCGCGGUAAUACGUAGGGUGCGAGCGUUAUCCGGAAUUAUUGGGCGUAAAGAGCUCGUAGGCGGUUUGUCGCGUCUGUCGUGAAAGUCCGGGGCUUAACCCCGGAUCUGCGGUGGGUACGGGCAGACUAGAGUGCAGUAGGGGAGACUGGAAUUCCUGGUGUAGCGGUGGAAUGCGCAGAUAUCAGGAGGAACACCGAUGGCGAAGGCAGGUCUCUGGGCUGUAACUGACGCUGAGGAGCGAAAGCAUGGGGAGCGAACAGGAUUAGAUACCCUGGUAGUCCAUGCCGUAAACGUUGGGCACUAGGUGUGGGGACCAUUCCACGGUUUCCGCGCCGCAGCUAACGCAUUAAGUGCCCCGCCUGGGGAGUACGGCCGCAAGGCUAAAACUCAAAGGAAUUGACGGGGGCCCGCACAAGCGGCGGAGCAUGCGGAUUAAUUCGAUGCAACGCGAAGAACCUUACCAAGGCUUGACAUGUUCUCGAUCGCCGUAGAGAUACGGUUUCCCCUUUGGGGCGGGUUCACAGGU
rnacentral:rRNA from 1 species